rnacentral:rRNA from 1 species
UACGGGGGGCAAGCGUUGUUCGGAAUUACUGGCGUAAAGGGCUCGUAGGUGGCCAACUAAGUCAGACGUGAAAUCCCUCGGCUUAACCGGGAACUGCGUCUGAUACUGGAUGGCUUGAGUUUGGGAGAGGGAUGCGGAAUUCCAGGUGUAGCGGUAGAAAUGCGUAGAUAUCUGGAGGAACACCGGUGGCGAAGGCGGCAUCCUGGACCAACACUGACACUGAGGAGCGAAGCCAGGGAGCAAACGGG